CAGAGCGUAAAACCUCUAAACCCACUGUCUAUCUAUCUGAACAACGUCUUUCUUCGGCGGGCGGCCCCAGGGCGGGGCCGCUGUCGGCGCUUCACGGCGUCGGCGCCCGCCGGAGGAGACACCCAAAACUCUUGUUUUUAGUAGUACUAUGAGCCCUGAAGAAUUGUCA
rnacentral:misc_RNA from 1 species